rnacentral:rRNA from 1 species
CAGCGCCGCGGUAAUACGAAGGGUGCAAGCGUUAAUCGGAAUUACUGGGCGUAAAGCGUGCGUAGGCGGUGGUUUAAGUCCGUUGUGAAAGCCCUGGGCUCAACCUGGGAAUUGCAGUGGAUACUGGAUCACUAGAGUGUGGCAGAGGAUAGUGGAAUUUCCGGUGUAGCAGUGAAAUGCGUAGAGAUCGGAAGGAACAUCUGUGGCGAAGGCGACUACCUGGGCCAACACUGACACUGAGGCACGAAAGCGUGGGGAGCAAACAGGAUUAGAUACCCGUGUAGUCCCUGUCUCUUAUACA